rnacentral:rRNA from 1 species
AUUAUUUUAGGCACACUACCUCCGCCUCCAACGCACUCUAGACCCCGCCCGUCCCCGCGUCGCUGUGGCGCACUCGCGGAAGGGGUGGUGGAGGGGGCAGCACGAAAGGCGGCUGGGGGUAGUAGAGCGAGAGUGCGUGUGGGUGUGGCUGUGGCGGUGGCGGCUGCGGCGGUAAAAGAGGUAAAUAACUGCCCUUUGGAGGAGAGGCGAGGGGGAGUGGAGUUGGUGGCUGCGGUGGCAGGGAGCAGGAGGAGAGGCGGCGCACGGCGCGUGCCUAAAGUCUUUAAUGUCAAGUUAUACCGCUGUGGGAUGUGUGGAUUCUCGUAGGAGUAAUGUCCUCGACGACCAAAGUAGCGAAGGGUACAGUGUUUGGCGUAACAUGCCUUGAUGGGACUAAUGUUCUAACAGCAGGAACUGUUCGAACUAAUGACGAGGUUAGACUUCUUGGAAGAGGGACGGUUGAGCAGUGGUUUGAAGUUCAAACAGUUCCCGCUAUAACGGUCACGACUAGAACAGUUGAAGGAGGACCAGUGUCUCUUGUAACUAUGUUAUUACGUGAAACGUCGGGUCUGUGUACAACUGUUAAGAAAACCAUUGAGGAAACUUAAGUGGUUCUUGUUGUAAAUACCAUGAGUACAAGAAGAACUUCGAACGUUCCAGUGACCGGUCUAGUCCUCCAAGUAGGUGCAAUCGUGACUACUCCAGAUACCGCUCUGACUACUCCUACGUCACCAACCAUUGGUACUCCGGAGUGUCGACGAGGGGUGUUUAGGAAUAAGUCGGUGGUUUCGACCUCGUCUCUACGAACAGUACCGAAUACCCUCUAGGAUACCAGACGGCCAGUAGUGAUGGGCCCCUUUAUUACACAUACCAGGAUUGGUCAAAGGACUUUUCGAAUAAGGCUUCAAGUAAGAAAACCGAUACUCUCCUUUCGGGGAGGGUUAAGUACCACUACCUAGGUUACAGGCUUCGAUGGAGAUAACACUCCUACAACGACUCCGAAAACUUCAGUAAGAAGUAGCACCUCUUCAACCUGUACAAAUGUUGUAACCUUGUUUCUCUCUCUCCUGUCAGUGACUACACCGUUUCCUACAGACGUCCGAAAAGUUAGAACUUCGACUAUUUCAUUAGGUCAACCAGCUAUUAUCUGGAAAGUUACUAGUCUCCAUAAAGAACCUACUACUCUUCGAGUUCUCAGAACCCACCAGACUCGCGUGAUCUACCCUCCUCCCGGACUCCUUCUGUUACCUUACCAUACAUCGAUUAAGACUGAUAACCCCACUACAAAGACCACGUGACAACGGAGUAGGCUCCUGUGACUACUACGGACCCAUACUCCCGAGACUCCUUUAAUUUCCUUACGAUUUAGACAAAUGAUUGUUAGUUUGCUUCUACCACCGAGGUUGUAGUCUUCCAAGAAGGGUUUGAGCAAACGAGUUCAAGAACUAUAUACCGGCCUGUCCUACCUAACCACCUGAAGAACCGUUUUAUACACUCUUCGUUCCUUAAGGUAUGCUCAUGCCUUUUCCAGCGAACCUUCUCGCGAAAAGGUAACAGGAACUAUAGGUUUGACAAUUCGGUUGUGUACAGAAGUUACGACGACCACAAUGACCGUCUGGGUUACAACUGACCACACUCAGAGUGUUCGGUCUGUGGUAUGCAUGGUUACAACACCCGUGGAACUGAGAUCGACUACAAACAGCCCUCGUACCCAAUAACCACUAUUUGAUACGGUGACCCACGUAUAAACUUAUACUACGUUUAGUAGGACUUCCCAGUCCGUAGCCGAAGUUUCUUCUCCUAUUUGGUUUGAAGUGACCAAGUAAGAUGAGUUUCUGAUUCCGUUACCAGCUCCUUGACAACUUCCUCAUGCUCUUACAGACGUGAGACGCUCAGGCCUACGGUUAUAGCAGACUGGAGUUGUUAGGGGCUUUGAAGUAUUGUUUCUAAUCGGCAAUACUGUUCCACCAUUUGUAGGGUUUGUCGUACUGACAUAACCUACUCGAAAACGGUUAAAGUCAACUCUACCGUUUUUCCUUGAACGCCCCGUAGACCUUGAAGUGGUUAGGACCGCACCAGUCGGUGUUACUCUAAGACCUCUACAUAUUCUUCAUGUACCUAGGGUCGAUGUUCACCUGUUUGAAGUGCGAUCUUCUUGUCCGAUUCCAGUAACAACGUGGAGCCUCGUUGUUGCUCUACCUGCGCUGUUUUGACUUCUCUCUCAAGGGGCUCGACGAUAGCUAGUUUCUGAGCAACUAGUUCAUACAGAAACUCGGGUUGUCCUUCCAGGGUCGUUGAACUUUCGGUCUUGUCGUAUACAGACAAUAUCUAAGUGUCGUAGCAAACCGUCAGACGACCACCGUCGUUCUAUAGAACAUGGUACUAACAAGGCUUACUUACAGCUCAUGUGAACAUAUGGAAAAUUAGACUAAUGGUAAAAACCACUUACUAGCCCGUUGGACACGAGACUGUUUUCGUAAACCUGUUCGUAAAAUUGACAAAUUC